CCGAGUUCUCCACCGUCCUCCACCCCUCUGAAGGUUCAUUGUCGUUUGAGCGACUGUCAUGUUCUUCGUAUUCUCAAGCAAUCCUUAUUUCACUCUACGCAGUUUUUGUUAGAUUCUUCUCAAAUUUCACUGGGGUCCAGCUGAUCUCAAUUUGUUUUCCAUAAGUUUCCAGCAAGUGAUAGUUGGUGCUGAUAAAAGGAAUCUCACAAUGCUCUACAGGGGAGCCAUUAUCUAGGCCUCUUUUAUCUAACGAGAGUUGCCCCGUUGCUCUACCAGCAGUUAAGUCCAUAGCUCCAAAUCACAGUGUACUGGUUCUUCUAAACUGUGCAAGCUGGUUUCUUGGUGGAAUGCUGAUAGCCAGAACAAGGAUUCUGCUGCAUUAUUACAUCAAGCAUAUUGGUUAGCCUUACAUCAAGCAGAUUGGUUACUUUGGCUACUACAUGGGAAGUUAGGCAUAUCAGACUACAACAAUGCUCUUAAGGAGGUGCCCAACUCUGUGCCACGAAAUGGAUGCCUAUCCACCUUGGCUGCUCGUACAACCUUACUCGAGUGUUUUACCUUGUAUUGUAGCCCCGGCCAGGAUCUGCUAUAGCGAAUGUGAAAGAGGAUGUCAGACAAAAUUUUGGUUAAUCUUCUAAAAUUCUCAAACUGAAAACUGAAUGUGGAUGAGAAAUGACAGAUGAAUUUUGUCUUCAAAGAUAUUUGGAUGGUGUACUUGAUUCACAUUUUGGUUCGUUAGUUUUAGAAACCUGUAAAACAAUGUUAUUUAUUUAUCAUCCAAUACAAUUUUAU